rnacentral:tRNA from 1 species
GCCUUCGUGGUGUAGUGGUCAGCACGCUUGACGCGUAACCAAGAGGUCCGUGGUUCGAUUCCCGGCGAAGGCG